GAUGAACGCUAGCUACAGGCUUAACACAUGCAAGUCGCGGGGCAGCAUGGGGGUUGCUUGCAAUCCCUGAUGGCGACCGGCGCACGGGUGAGUAACGCGUAUCCAACCUGCCCUUCACCACGGGAUAACCCGGCGAAAGUCGGACUAAUACCGUAUGUUGUCCAUUGACGGCAUCCGAUUUGGACGAAAGGCUUAGCGGUGAGGGAUGGGGAUGCGUCCGAUUAGCUUGACGGCGGGGUAACGGCCCACCGUGGCUACGAUCGGUAGGGGUUCUGAGAGGAAGGUCCCCCACACUGGAACUGAGACGCGGUCCAGACUCCUACGGGAGGCAGCAGUGAGGAAUAUUGGUCAAUGGGCGUAAGCCUGAACCAGCCAAGUAGCGUGCAGGAUGACGGCCCUAUGGGUUGUAAACUGCUUUUAUGCGGGGAUAAAGGGACCCACGUGUGGGUUUUUGCAGGUACCGCAUGAAUAAGGACCGGCUAAUUCCGUG
rnacentral:rRNA from 1 species